rnacentral:rRNA from 1 species
GACGAACGCUGGCGGCGUGCUUAACACAUGCAAGUCGAACGGUAAGGCCCUUCGGGGUACGCGAGUGGCGAACGGGUGAGUAACACGUGGGUGAUCUGCCCUGCACUUCGGGAUAAGCCUGGGAAACUGGGUCUAAUACCGGAUAGGACCACUGCCUGCAUGGGUGGUGGUGGAAAGCUUUUGCGGUGUGGCGAUGGGCCCGCGGCCUAUCAGCUUGUUGGUGGGGGGAUGGCCUACCAAGGCGACGACGGGUAGCCGGCCUGCGAGGGUGACCGGCCACACUGGGACUGAGAUACGGCGCAGACUCCUCCGGGGGGCAGCAGUGGGGAAUAUUGCACAAUGGGCGCAAGCCUGAUUCAGCGACGCCGCGUGAGGGAUGACGGCCUUCGGGUUGUAAACCUCUUUCAGCACCGACGAAGCGCAAGUGACGGUAGGUGCAGAAGAAGGACCGGCCAACUACGUGCCAGCAGCCGCCGUAA